rnacentral:lncRNA from 1 species
GGACAUAUGGAGAUCAUAAAGUCUAAAAAAGUGGAACUUAUCAGAUGGCUACGUGGAGAUAAGAUGCUUUUACAGUAUGUUGACCAAGAUAAAAUUCUAACUAUGGACGAAUAUGACACAAUUAAAAACAUCAAAGAUCCUCGUGAGCGAAUCACAGAACUCGUGGACAUGAUUCUCAGCAAAGGCGAAUGCACCUGCAAUAACUUUCUGCUCUUGCUGGCAAAAGAUGAUGAAUGAAUCCAGACCUGAGCUCCGGGAAUGGAUAACAACGGUAGAAAUUUCAGACAAACCAAAAGCACCGGCCAAAAACAAAAUCAAAGCACCAGCCAAAAAUACAGCAAAGCGUAAAGCAGGCGCCAAGCCUAGUAAAAAGUGUGUAAAAGGCUACAUCCACAAUGUAUCUAAAAUAAUGCUUUCGGUCAAAAAAAACAAAUACUUCACUGCUCUGUUCCAAGAGGCAAAAACCUGUUCCAAACUUUUGGUUUUCAAAGAGGAGCAUCAUCAGGAGUAUGUUUCAGCUGAGGAAAAUCGAAUUCCAGUAAAACUGGAAAACAUCACGCGCCAGCGUACAGGUGAAAAGGACAUUAUAGCUGGGUGGGAUUCCAAGCUUUCCUCCUUGAAAAAAUUACCUUUUUCAUUUGAUGCCACCAAGAAACAAGAAACCAACGCUGAACACAAGAAAAUUCGAGACAUUCUUAAAAACCCCAUCAUCAGUCAACAAGUUCAUGUGACUGUAAAAAUAAAGAAACAACUAGAGAACGAAAUAAAAAUGACAAAGGCAAAAAAAAAUGUGAAAUGA